GAUAGGUUAAUAUUUCACAAAGAAUUUUACUGUGACUUUUUUCAUGAGAGUUACUAGUCUCUAACUUUCAUUUCUUGCAAUAUCUCCGUUUGGUGUUGGUAUCAGCCUAAUAUUGAGCUUUUGCAGUAAGCUGGGAAAUAUUCUUUUCUCUUACAUUUUAUGGAGAAAUUUGUGUAAAAUUGCUGUCACUUCUUGUUAUCAUCGAUGUAUCGUCUCCUGUAUUUACAUGAUGUUUAACAGACCUCCUCCUAGACGGAAGCUUAGCUGGUCCCUAUCAAGAUGAGGAAGUUCACCUGCACUCUUAUUUUUCUGAGCUUUCACUAUGAACUGGAGUUAUGGGUUCUUGGGAGGAAGGCCACAGAGAUAGUGGACCAUUUUCAUCACGUCCUGUCAAAGGCACUCCCACGCUCUGAAGAGUGGGAGAAAGUGAGAGAGAAAGGUCCACAGCACACACUUCAUGAAAGGAGAUGCUGAAGUUGACCUUAUGUGUGGUGUAUGAGUGUUCAGCAACCGUGUUUCAUCUUUACUGAGCAACAGAAAGACCCUGAACCCUGGCAUCGCUAUUGUCAGUGUAUUAGUCCAUUCUCACACCUAUCAAGGAAGCUGAGACUGGAGCAAACACUUGAAAGAGACCAGAGAGGGCAUUCUGAAGCUCUCCGCAGGUGGAGCGUCCCAGGCAGACCCACCAGAAAGAGAGCAAAGGGCAGCAGCAUCUUGCCUUGACCUGUAGCUGAUGGCAGUACGUUUCCAUAAAGCAUCAGAGUAAGAAACAACUGUCUGUGAAUGACAAAAGACUGAAAAAUACCUGUUAAAUAUUUGAUGAAUGUUUGUUUUAACAUACUUGGCAAAGGAAUUUGAUUAUUUCUGUGGCGUGCAACAUUUUAAGGGCAGUCCAGUGAAUUCUUGGUAAUGAGCUUUUAGCACAAAGGACUUUGCAUGGGAAGACCCUGCGCUGCUGGAGUUUGAUUAGAGAGUUUUGCUGCCAUUCUUCGGGCCUUUGGCAAAGCUGUUUUCUGGUUAUCAGUAUUUACAUAGGAAUUCUUGACCUUUUCAGUAGAAAGCAUCGUGGGAAAACACACAGAGUGGAACACAGGUAACAUGCUCAAAAGAGUGAUGAAUAACUCCCAGAAUUCUGUCAAAGUUCUCCUGUGAUUUGCACAGGUCUGUUCUACAACCUGGAGAAGACUCUCCCUCUCAGGUCCCCCUUGUCUUCUACAGCAGCAAAACAAAACCUGCUGUCUGCAGCCUGGCCAGGGUUGGACACAGGCAACAGGUUUCCUGCCAUGUCCUCUGAAGAGAAGGUGCUAGGAUGGGUCAGUGGGACACUGACCUGCACAUUUUCUCCCAGGCUGCAUCCCUCGCCCUCAUGCACUAGGUGCUGUCCCACCGUGGGGUGGGUGCCCAUGUUUCCAGAACAUUUGGACUGUCUUCCUCCACCUGGACGGCACUGUCAGACAUCUGCCUACAGACACCCUCGCAUUUCUCAUGGUGCAGCGGAAGCUUCCCUCUGCCCCUUCCUGAAGUCACUUCACUCUCCCAUGUCUGGCCACCCAUCUCAUCUUCAUCAAAAUCCACAUGUGGAAUGUAAACACAGGCCUGGGGUAUGAGGAUGGUGAGGAAAGCUUAUUAUCUUGUGCCAUGGAUGGUAUGGCUGUGCAUACACAUUUGUAUGUGCAUAUGUGUGUGUAUAUGUGCAUAUGUGUGCAUGUGAGUGUGCAUGUGUGCGUGUGUGUGUACUUUUGUGUGUGUACAUGUGUAUGUGUGCACGUUUGUGUAUGUGUGCACGUUUGUGUAUGUGCAUGUGCUUAAAUGAAGCCAAUGAGGCACCAUUCAUUUGUGUAUCAUCUUCCCUGGCAUGUGCCCAGCACAGUACCUGACCCAGAGUUAAGCAGUAGUAAAGAUCUGUGUGAUUAAAUCUAAUACUGCACAGUGUGAUUCAUGUGGCCUGUGUCUCCCCAUAUUGGAUUACAGAAUCCAUUAAUUUUCAUAGAAAACUUUACUGAGGGAGAAGAGCUGGUGUGUCUUGGCCCAGACUUCCCUCCCACUGUGAACUGUGGAUUUCUUUCUACUCUCCCAGCCUUAGUUACUCCUGCUGUCCUCAGUGAGACUGUUUCCAUGCUUCCCUUUAAUUCCAUGCACUCAGGGGCUAAACAUAAACUCUGGUACUAUGAUUGGAAUCUUAUCAAGAUGUUGGUUACUGUGGUUAUAAAAAGUAAUAUCUUAACGAAAAUAAAAACAGAGAAGACAGAGCAUGUAGUGCCUAGCUUUCUCUGGUUAUAUUUUUAGUCCAAAAGUUAGAUGUCCUGGCUCUUGAGUUGGUUUCAUGUGGCUGUACGGAGAGGGUCAGUUAGGUUGUGAUGGCUUCAGCCACAGAGACAGGUGCACAUUUUGGGAAAUAUGUGGUCAGCCAGAACCACCUUCAUAGAGCCUGGGAGGCUUUGUGUCUGAGCACCUUUUCCUGUUUACAUCUCAGAUGGGAAUCUGAGUGAAGGGUUUGUUUUCUUCCUUUAAUAACACAUUAUCAACUAGAAGGUUGUGCUAUUAAAAAUACUGCUUUAAAAAAAUAACACCUUUUAAUUCUCCAAGGGUCCCUUCUGUGAUGAUUCUGUGUUCCUAUGCAGUGGCCUGUUUAGGCUAGGAAAGCAUGACCUGGCAUUCAGGGGUCUGAGGAGUAUUGACCACCUCUGGACUUGGAGCUUCCCUGAGGAUCUGGUGCUACUGCUCCUCGAAAGAUCACUGUGAGUAGAUUUAGUGUUUUGAUAACACAAUUUCUUUUAAUUUAAAGAAGGCUUGCACCAAACCAGAUUUUGGAUCAGGGGAUCUGAUAGUUUAAUUUAUCCUGUGGAACAUAGUUGUAUUAGGCUGUUCUUGCUUUGCUCUGGAGAAAUAUCUGAGACUAAAUCAUCGAUAAGAAGAGAGGUUUAAUUGGCUUAUGAUUCUUCAGGCUGUAUAGGAAGCAUAAUGCCAACAUCUGCUGCUGGGGAGGCCUCAGGGAGCUUACAAUUACCAUGGAAGGUAAAGCAAAGGCAAAGCAGGAGAAAGCAUAUCACAUGGUGAAAGCAGGAGCACAAGAGAGAUGGGCAAGGCGCCACACACUUUCAAACUACCAGAUCUCACUCACUAUCAUGAGGACCAUACCAAAGGUGAUGGUAAUAAUCCAUUCUUGAGAAAUCUGCCCCCAGGAUCCAAUCACCUCCUACCAGGCCCCACUUCCAACAUUGGGGAUUUCAAUUCAACAUGAAAUUUGGUUGGGGCACAGAUCCAAACUAUAACAAUAGGCAAAGCAAAAACAAAAACAAACAAAAACAAAAAACAAACGACAACAACAACAAAACAUUUCUACUAUAAUUUGGGUCAAUUGUAGAAUCUGUUCCCGAAAUAGCAGGAGUGUAGGGUCAGGGGAAAUAUGAUUUUGUUAAUUGCAUUGAACAUAGGACUGUCAAAACUUCAGUUAGAAUGUCAACAUGAAUGCAGAAUGGCUCUUUGGAUGCAAGUAAAAUGGCCUAGAAGAGUCACUCGGGAAGGUAAUGCCUGGCACAUCGUGACUUUCCUUUGGACUGCCACUCCCACUCUGCUUUUCUUGACUACCUCAUCAUGGCCUUUCCCCUGCCAGAAUGUGCCAGGCCCUGCCUGGAAAGACUUCAGUGGCUCCCCAUUGUUUCAGAAUAAAAUCCAGACUAUUUCCUCAGCUCUACUCAGCCUGAUCUCCUUCCUUUGUCCACUCUUCACUCCACUGAACCUGCUGCAUAUUUUAGGUCCAAUACCAAGGUAUGCCAUUUCUUGAAUCACACCUUUAACUUUCCCAUUUCUGAGAGCUUUUAUGUUUCUCAGUUCCAGAAAGUGCUUGUCCAUCAUCUACUACCACUGUUGCCAUCCUAUCCCUCCAGAUGCUAUUCCCACACCUUCUUAAACUUUGUGGUGGAACUCUGAUUGGAAUCAUUCGUGUUCACAUCUGUUUGCCCACCAGACUGAGUCCCAGAUGCUACUUACUUAAAACAGUGGUUUUUAUAUCAUCCACCCCAAUAAAUGUGAAGGACUUCAGGAAACACCCACAGUGACAUUUAUGUUUCACAUCACAGUUUACAAAACUGUUCUCAGAGGAGUUGUGUGAAUAUAGUUUUAUCCUCACUUCACUUGGUAUGGUGACAUGAUGUUGCUCAAAAUGUACAUCUAAGUCUCUUGAUUUCUAGGCUGACUGUACGUCUAGCUAUUUUGUGAAUCCUCAGACCCGGGUACAAGUCUGAGGUGACAUGAUGUUGCUCAAAAUGCACAUCUAGGUCUCUUGAUUUCCAGGUUGCCUGUACACCUAGCUAUUUUGUGUAUUGUCAGACCUGGGUACAAGGGUGGUGCUGGCUUUUUAUUACCUUAAUCUAAGGAGGUGUGAGGACACAGUGGUCCACACUGAGGAAGCUGGCUUGUUUCUACUUCCUUGGCUCUGCUAAUCUCUGCAAACUGCAAACUGAGAGAACUGGCUGAAAGCCUCUAAGGAAAUCACAGAUUAGAGAGUGAUCUGGAAAUAGCCUCUAGUUAUGUUUUAACUCUGGACGGAAAGACACCAAAAUUAACUCAGGUAAGAAGAAGUCAUUUUGAAAAGUCUCUAAAGAAGCAUUCUGUAGUCUCUGAGUAAGACGAGUGACUUUUUUAUAGUGAGAAAAGUAUCAAAUUCCAUCUUAAUUUCCUUACAUCUAACUUAAUAUAUUUCAAUUUGUAUUUUUGUGCUUUUGAUAUUUUUGUUAGUCAUUAUUAAUAUUAAAGUUAAACUCAUCCCAGAAAUUCCUUAUCUUAAAACAACUAUUAUUAUCAUCUUUCUCAGAUAACCAUAUAUUUCACACAAUUGAGAAGGAGAAGCACACACCAGUUUGUAACCUGUUUUCAUCUAAAUUAUAUGGUGGACAUUUCUACAUAGCUUUUGUAAUUCUCUUUUCUGCCAAAAUUGUAGCUAAUUCUUCCCAGCAGGGUCCUCACUUCCUCCUCCUGGGGUGUUCCUGUGUUGCAGCACACAUUACCAUGCCUUGUAUUUAUUUAUUUAGAGUGCUCUUCUCACUAGUCUGAAAUUGGGAGCUUCUCCAGUGUCAGGACCAGAGCUUUCUCCCAUUGCUGUCUAUGUUUUACACUCAUGAGCUGUUCCAUCAUUAGGCUUCACAAUAGAUGCAAUCCCUGGGCGCUUAAAUAAAACUACCUUAACCUCUGAGCUCGAUGCUUGCAGUCCAGGCCCCUUUUGUGCUGAGUGAAGGAAUAUAGGGCUUGGGGGUCAGGCGGACCUGUCUGUCAUUGACAAGAGUCUCAUAGCAUGUCCUGCUGUUUGAGCAAUGAUCAUCUUUUGGUGCUUUUAGGGUACGACUAUAUGUAGGCAUGUAUACAUCCAUGUGAUGCUAAACAAGAUGCAGGUACUUGCUAAAACACAAACAUGUACUUAUGAGCAAAUGAAUGUACUCCAGUUUGAUCAAGAAAACAUCUGGAGGAAAAGAGGAAAUUUAAAAAUCAUCACAAUGUUUAGUCUACUUGUUGCCACACACCCUGACAUGGUCAGAUGUGUUUUUCUGUUUGCGUGAUUGUUUUGGCAUGAUGGAGCUGAACUUGGAGGACUCUCUGCUGUGGCUGUUGUCUUCAGCCUCACCGGGUUGCCUAUCCUGGGCAUCUUCAGCAUGGAACUGACAUGCUUUUCUCCGUGCUGGGCUGACCUUCACCGAGAGCUGCCCCUGCCUUCCUCCCCUAUCAGAGGGAGGUGAAGGGGAGAAAGACACUCUGCCCUGCUGGCCAUGCCCCAUGCCCCGUGCCUGAUAGUCACAGCCAACACUGCUCCCCAGCUGAGGCAUUGUUGUUACUUAACUUUUAAUCGGUGUAUAUUCAUUGUGGAAUAGGUCUAUUUUGGAUUUCACAAAGAUUCAAUGAGUGACCGUUUGCCUUUUCCUCUUAAAUGAAGAAAGAAUUUUGAUAAAUAGGAAUAUUUUAUUGGGAAUAAGGGCAAACCUAACUAACUAGUGCCAUUUGAAAAUAUCCAACCUCUUGAAUUCCCACCUCAGACAUCACCUCAUCCAGAAAGUCAUUCCUGUCAGUCUGUCAGAAAGCAUUCAAUCCUCUUCUUCCUACGUACUUCUGCACCAAGUCCACUUAGUUUGCUCUGAUUUUCCGUAGACUCUAUUAAUAUGCAGCAUAUUAUGACAUUUAAUUGUUUUACUUAUUUUGUAUCACCCCCCUCUCAGAACAUAAGUUUUAAGAAUAAAUCUUUUUUUUUUUUUUUCUUUUGAGAUGGAGUCUCACUCUGUUGCCCAGGCUGGGGUGUAGUGGCACAAUCUCA